GUACUGGGAUUACAGGUAUGAGCCACCAUGCCCUUCUUAAAGCAGAACUUUCUGACUUCUCCUUUUUUUCCUGAAAGCAUAUUAAACUCCCAUGUAAAAGAUGCUCUCUCUGUACCUGGAGGAAAGAGAUAUUUUUAUCACCAGAGACAGAGAGAACUCUCUGCAGAUAAUCGAAUUUUGUUGAAACAACUCUCACCUUUCUUUAGCUUUCCUGUAUAUUUUACUUUUUCACAAUUGCCCCUCUUUGUCCAACAUAGUAGGAAAGCAUUGAAGUUUUGCAACUUCUUUGAGCCAUCAUUUGUUUAUGAAGAUUCUUAAGUCACAUAAAACUUAAAAAUUAAAUAAAUCUUUAGGUUUCUCUCCUGCUAGUCUAUUUUAUGUCAAUCUAAUUCUCAGGCCCUGCUGGGGUUCCUACAAAGGUAUAGGUAAAGCUUUGUCUGCCCUACACCAUUCUAUAUAGUAUCACGAAUUUCACUUAAAUCAGCAAUGUCUGACAUCACUUCUUUCACACACCCUUCCCAACAUUGUUAUUAUCAAAUUUUAAAAACUUUGCUAAUCAGAUAGGUAAAAAAGUGGCAUCUCUUUUUUUUUUUAACCCAAAUUUGCCCAAUUACUGAUAACACUGAGGAUCUUUUUAUAUUUUUGUUAGCCAUUGAACUUUCCUCUUGUCUGUUCAUGUUAUUUUCUCUUGGGUCAUUUGUCUUUGAUUAUGAAAUUCUCAUUUUUUUUAAUGUAUAUCACUAUACUAACUCUUUGAUACAUAGGCUGUAGAUAUCUUCUAAUAGACUAUCAUUCAUCUUUAUGUGAAUGUUUAUCAUAUAGAGGUUUUACAUUUCAAUGUGGUUACCUGUGCCCUAAGUUUGUUCUCUUCUUACUUCCUCAAGGACUUUUUUACUCUGUGGAUAAUGCCCCCACCCUUCCAGCUUCAGCCUUACUCUAAGGAAUCCUUGCAAUUGUUGAGAAACAUACUCUAGUAUGUCCCACUUUUUACACCUACUCCUUGAACCAUCUCUCUCUCCAAUUACUGGCCUCUUUUUGCUUUGUUUCAUAGCAACAUUUCUCAAAAGACAGGUUUUUUUCGUUCUCUCCACUUCCUCACCACCCCUCCAGUCAUCACCCUCUGUAGUCUGGCUCUAUGACCACCUCUCUGCUGGAAGUGUUCUUGUUAAGAUCACCAGUCACCUUCAUGGUGCUAGUUGGAGUCACACCUCUGUUCUCACGUUAUUUAAUCUUUCGGUAGCAUUCACCAUGACUGACCAUAUCUCCCUUCCUGAAACAUUUUUUUUAAAUCUUGGCUUCAGUAAAUGAGCUCCCCGUUUUCUUUCUAACUGCCUCAGCACUUCUCAGUACCCUCUGCUGAUUCUUCCUCCACCACCAACUCCCUAAAUGUUGGAGUGUCUCCUGGUACAGCCCUGGACACUCCUCACCAGCUUUUCAUCAGGUAAACUAACUCCUGUCCCAAUAAAUACCUUCUGUGUGCUGAUGACCCCCAAAUGCACAGCUGCACCCUCGACCAAGUCCUUGAGCUUUAGACUCGUACAUCCAAUUCCCUACUGGACACCUCCCCUUGAUUAUUUCACACUUAAUGAGUCCAAAAAUUGAUCUUUUUGAUUUUCACUGCCUCCCCAAAAAACUUUUCCCACUCUGUUUUCCCCUAUCUUGCCAAGAAUCCUGUUGCUCAAACCAAACUCUUAGGAAUCACCCUGAUUUCUCCCUUCACUUCAGCAGUCCAUCAGCAAGUCUUAAUGUUUCUAUUUCCAAAAUGUUCUCAGUAUCCAUAUAUUUUCAUCCAUCUUUGCAACUAUUGUGCUAUUCCUUGCACUGACAUAUCUUCCCAGGACUACAGCUGUAGCCUCCUAAAUGGUCUCCUGCUUCCAUUCCUGCCUCCGUCUAGCUUAUUCUCCUGUUAACAUUUUCAGCAUUUACCCCCAUCUUAAGUUACUGUAAUAACUUUUUUCUUUAUGUUGUUAUUGUCUGUUUCCUCUAUUAUUUUGCAAGCUCUGUGAGGGUAGGGACCAGAUCUGUUGUAUUUCUCACCAUAUGCUAACUUCUGGCAGAUUUAAGUAUCUUAGUACAUACAUUUUGAUUAAAUCAAUGAGCAAGUGAAUGCAUGAUUUUAAAUAUUAGGUAAUAUUCAUAAUUUGCUCAGAAAAUUCUCCUGAGAUUGGCCACUUCCCAGACUGGUGAAACAGGAGAAAAGGAUCUUGUAUAUCUCAAUGACUCCUGAAAAGAGCAUAAAAAUAGUAUGUUUGGGAACAUAAUGUGGAGCAGGAGUUAUAAUCUCAAAUGUCUCUGGGUUCUGGCAGGUAACAGAAAUGGGGAAGUUACCAUGUGUAAGCCACAGUGAGUGGUAGGGACUGUCACAAUCUGGAGAGGCUCCAGCUCCAGCUAAUGCAGACUCAUCAGCUCCAGCCAGAUGUGGCCAAGCAGUGAGGGGCCCAAAGGUCUUCCGAUAAACGCAACCAAUUGUCUACCAGAAAAUGUUUAAAUUUACUAUUGCCUGGAAGCCCCUGCCACCCGCCCGCCCACUCCGCCUUGAGUUGACCCACCUUUCUGAACCAACCAAGGUAUUUUUAAAUGUAUUUGAUUGAUGUCUCAUGCCUACCUAAAAUAUAUAAAACCAAGCUGUACCCAGCCUACCUUGGGCACAUGUUCUCAGGACCUCCUGAGGGCUGUGUCACUCGUAUUUGGCUCAAAAUAAAUCUCUUCAAA